rnacentral:rRNA from 1 species
GGGCCCGCACAAGCGGAGGAACAUGUGGUUUAAUUCGAUGAUACGCGAGGAACCUUACCCGGGCUCGAACGGCUAAUGAGUAUGGUGGAAACAUCAUAGCCAGCAAUGGCAUUAGUCGAGGUGCUGCAUGGUUGUCGUCAGCUCGUGCCGUGAGGUGUCGGCUUAAGUGCCAUAACGAGCGCAACCCUUAUCAUUAGUUACUAGCAGGUAGUGCUGAGGACUCUAGUGAGACUGCCACCGUAAGGUGUGAGGAAGGUGGGGAUGACGUCAAAUCAGCACGGCCCUUACGUCCGGGGCUACACACGUGUUACAAUGGGGGGGACAAAAGGUUGCUACUUGGCAACAAGAUGCUAAUCCCGAAACCCUCUCCCAGUUCGGAUCGAAGUCUGCAACCCGACUUCGUGAAGCUGGAUUCGCUAGUAAUCGCGCAUCAGCCAUGGCG